AAUUUCUGCCCUACUUUACAGAUUUCUCUGAAAUCCUCAUCUCUCCUUCCGCCCAUCUUUUUUGCUCCAACACAGGCGGGAAAAAAGCUGCUCAUAAAAGUGGAUUACCUGCCUUUUUAAAUCUUAUCUGAAAUGCAUUUCCUCGAGCCCAGAUAUCAGCUCAGCAGGAGAGAUUCAUAAUGAACAGACGGAGCCUGUGUACCGAUUAAAUACAGAAUAUAUCUGCACUGACAUAAAUGGUACUCGUGUGAAGAUAGGGAAAAACUUUCUUCUACAAUAUUUUCCUUCUCAAUUUAAUUUUAUUACCUGUCAACUAAAUUUAGAUAAAUCAGAUCCUUCCGUAAAAGCGGAACAAAAUAAAAAAGAUCAACAAUGACGACUGUCCUAAAAGCUUCUGUUUUUUUUUUUUUUUUUUAAUCUUGUAGAGUGAUUGAUUGGGUUUGUGUCUGAAAUACCGAGGCGCAAAACUCAACGAGUCGCUAUUGGUUGCUGUUUGCCAACCAGCCAAUCCAGAAAGGGCAUUUAUUUUUCUUGACGCUGAUUGGCUGAACCUCCUCCUCACAAACGGGGAAAUAAAGAAUACUGUAGCCUUUAGCUUCUGCCGCUACGGUUUCUACUGUGGAUAAACAUGUAUAUUUCGUAUAUUUCGUGUUUUAACUAUUAAAAUAGGUAGUUAGAAAAGGUUUUGAGGAAGUUUUCUUUUUUUUGUGGAUUUCAGAUAUUCGUGGACGGCUGUAGCCCCAAACGCAGUUAAUACUAACGGUCCAGUGUAGCCGUUUCCGCCGGAGCGCCGCCUCGCUGAGUGGGAGGAAGGAGGAUAAUCACGGAGGGAAGUGGAGGCGGCGACACGCGAUGCAGUAAUGGAGAUUAAUGCUCACUGAACGCAAACAAAGAAAGUUGACAGUGGAGACGGACAGAGAGGAAAGCAGCCAAGAUGGCCGCUGCAGAAAGACAGGAAGUUGGGCUUCCGUUUGGAGUAAACAAGAAAUCACUGUUUUUAUUAAAGUAUGUUUAGGGACAAACCAAGAAAAUAAAAAGACAUAAAAUUAUCAGAAUAAAGUCAUAGUGUUAUGAGAAUAAUUAUAAUAUUACGAGAAGUUUAAACAAUAUAAUAUUUGGACUUUAUUCUCAUAUUAAUUCGGCCCUAU